CACUUAGGCAUAUCUUUAAAGGGGUCAUAGAAUGCAAAACCGAGUUUACCUUGUCAUAGAUGAAUAACGAUAGUUCAGUGGGUGAAAUGGAGAUACAGAGAAGUUCAAAACCCCAUCCACGCCUCCUUUCUGUGCAAAUCUCACAAUUCGAAACUCCCGCCAUAAAACGGGCGAAUCCAAAAGAAGCUCAGAGUUUACGCAAACUCCGAAGUGGUGCCUUAUUUGGCUCUGGCCUGUACAUUUGUCACGCCCCAAAAUUUACAUACAGACCAGCCCACUGGUUCGCUGGCCCAAGAACAUGAAUGGAGGUUGUGAAGAUGUCAGACACUAGUUUAGCUAGCCUACUGUUGGGUUUACUUCUACAAGAAUUACAAAGCAGGCAGUUUCUCUAUCGAAAAUGAGCCAGAGAGGUAAAUGCAGUGUUCCAGGCUGCACGGAGAAAGGGGAAGUUUGUCACAGUCUUCCCAAGGAUCCGAAGACUCGGCAGGCAUGGAUAAUGUUUGUCUAUCAGAAGAUCCCUGCAAAGUUUGACGCUCAGCUGUUCAUUUGCUCUGAACAUUUUACCGAAGACAGCUUUCAAAAUCUUGGACAGUUUAAAGCAGGAUUUGCCAAACUUCUUUUACUGAAACGAGGGGCUGUUCCGACCGUAAGGUCAUCACAAACGCAAGCUAGCACAUCACAAGAACAACCACGAACAAAAGUUGCAGCAUGCCAAACAGAUCCUCCUUGUGUGGCAUCUCGCGGGACGCAGCUUUCUUUUACUACAUUGAGACCUCACCAACGAAGCAAAGGUUGUACCUUGCAGCUAUGCAUUUCAAUGAGAAUGCUCAGCGCCCACAACGGAAGACAGCCAAGGGGAAACUAAUGUACAGGCUUGUGUUUCCAAAGGCCAAAAGGGGAGGUUACACAGUCAAAAAAGUGAAGACAGAGCCAACGAUUUGCUAUGUCUUUAACCUGAUAAGACUAGUGUUCGAAGAGAUCGUCCAUGACUCCCUUCGUUAUGUGGAUGCCGUCCAGCAGAUUCCUGUGCCCCAAGACUUGUGUGCUCAGCUUCCCAGACCUUCCAGGGAGGAUGCUGUCGCUGAGCAUGUGUCACGGUUCAGUCGAGGGGGGGUCUGAACCCGACAUACUGCCCUGAUGUUUCCGGAAACUCCCUCCGUAUGCACAGCACCACACAAGAGGGGAUCACAACACGGACACUUCGCCCAAGGAAACCCCAGCACCAGCUCACGAAAGAUCUGUAGGCCAAGUGUCUGCAUUGCCUUCAGAGAAAUCAGAGUGGAAAGGCACACUUUUUUACUAUUUAUUUUUUGAAUAUUUUAUAUUUUUGAGUAUAGCACUGUAUGAUUGUGUUGAAACAAAAUAAAGUUUGUCAUUUUAC